rnacentral:rRNA from 1 species
UUUUUGAAGUCUUCGGAUGGAUAGAAGAACCCCUGAUGCCGUCGAGCCAAGAAAAGUUUCUAAGUUUAGCUAAUGUUGCCCGUACCGUAAACCGACACAGGUGGGUGGGAUGAGUAUUCUAAGGCGCGUGGAAGAACUCUCUUUAAGGAACUCUGCAAAAUAGCACCGUAUCUUCGGUAUAAGGUGUGGUUAGCUUUGUAUUAGGAUUUACUCCGAAAGCAAGGAAACUUACAACAAAGAGUCCCUCCCGACUGUUUACCAAAAACACAGCACUCUGCUAACUCGUAAGAGGAUGUAUAGGGUGUGACGCCUGCCCGGUGCUCGAAGGUUAAUUGAUGGGGUUAGCAUUAGCGAAGCUCUUGAUCGAAGCCCGAGUAAACGGCGGCCGUAACUAUAACGGUCCUAAGGUAGCGAAAUUCCUUGUCGGUUAAAUACCGACCUGCAUGAAUGGCGUAACGAGAUGGGAGCUGUCUCAAAGAGGGAUCCAGUGAAAUUGUAGUGGAGGUGAAAAUUCCUCCUACCCGCGGCAAGACGGAGAGACCCCGUGGACCUUUACUACAGCUUGACACUGCUAUUUGGAUAAGAAUGUGCAGGAUAGGUGGGAGGCUUUGAGUAUAUGACGCCAGUUGUAUAUGAGCCAUUGUUGAGAUACCACUCUUUCUUAUUUGGGUAGCUAACCAGCUUGAGUUAUCCUCAAGUGGGACAAUGUCUGGUGGGUAGUUUGACUGGGGCGGUCGCCUCCCAAAUAAUAACGGAGGCUUACAAAGGUUGGCUCAGAACGGUUGGAAAUCGUUCGUAGAGUAUAAAGGUAUAAGCCAGCUUAACUGCAAGACAUACAAGUCAAGCAGAGACGAAAGUCGGUCUUAGUGAUCCGGUGGUUCUGUGUGGAAGGGCCAUCGCUCAAAGGAUAAAAGGUACCCCGGGGAUAACAGGCUGAUCUCCCCCAAGAGCUCACAUCGACGGGGAGGUUUGGCACCUCGAUGUCGGCUCAUCGCAUCCUGGGGCUGGAGCAGGUCCCAAGGGUAUGGCUGUUCGCCAUUUAAAGCGGUACGCGAGCUGGGUUCAGAACGUCGUGAGACAGUUCGGUCCCUAUCUGCCGUGGGCGUAAGAAGAUUGAAGAGAUUUGACCCUAGUACGAGAGGACCGGGUUGAACAAACCACUGGUGUAGCUGUUGUUCUGCCAAGAGCAUCGCAGCGUAGCUAAGUUUGGAAAGGAUAAACGCUGAAAGCAUCUAAGCGUGAAGCCAACUCUAAGAUGAAUCUUCUCUAAGCUCUCUAGAAGACUACUAGUUUGAUAGGCUGGGUGUGUAAUGGAUGAAAGUCCUUUAGCUGACCAGUACUAAUAGAGCGUUUGGCUUAUCUUUAAUAAAGCAU